GGGCGUCUAGCUCAGUGGUUAGAGCGCUGCCCUUACAAGGCAGAUGUCACAGGUUCGAAUCCCGUGUCGCCCA
rnacentral:tRNA from 1 species